rnacentral:rRNA from 1 species
GACGAACGCUGGCGGCGUGCUUAACACAUGCAAGUCGAACGGAAAGGCCCUGCUUGCAGGGUGCUCGAGUGGCGAACGGGUGAGUAACACGUGGGUGAUCUGCCCCUUACUUUGGGAUAAGCCUGGGAAACUGGGUCUAAUACUGGAUAGGGCCAUGCUGUAGGUGGUGUGGUGGACAGAUUAGUUUCGGUAAGGGAUGAGCUCGCGGCCUAUCAGCUUGUUGGUGGGGUAAUGGCCGACCAAGGCGUCGACGGGUAGCCGGCCUGAGAGGGUGGACGGCCACAUUGGGACUGAGAUACGGCCCAGACUCCUACGGGAGGCAGCAGUGGGGAAUAGUGCACAAUGGGCGCAAGCCUGAUGCAGCGACGCCGCGUGGGGGAUGACGGCCUUCGGGUUGUAAACUCCUUUCAGCCAUGACGAAGCCCUUGUGGUGACGGUAGUGGUAGAAGAAGCACCGGCUAACUACGUG